UGGGCAACAAGAGUGAAACUCCAUCUCAAAAAAAAAAAAAAAAAUUUAUAGUUAAAUUUUUUUCAAAAUGACCAGAAGUCUAAAAAAUGUGAGCCAAUCACAUAUUUACUAGGCAGAGUUUAGAGUGAUACAAUACUUGUUGCCCUCUAAUAACCGACUUGCUUGGGUUUGCUCUUACAUGACAUUCAUGCUCAAAUUCUUAGCACUGCUGACAUACUUAGGUCUAUAUUUUGUUUUGAUCUGUUAAGUUUACCUUCAACCCCAGGCUCAAAUAGGAAACAAUCUAUCACAGUUAAUGGAGAAGGCAUGGAAUCCUUUUAUUUUGCUAAGUUCUGUUAGUAAAAAUGUAUGCCAAAAUAUGGGCAUAUUGCAAAAGUACAUAUAAGGCAGGUUUUUCCUCCCCAUUUCUGCCUAUAUCAUCAUGCCCACUAAAUUUGAUCAUUUUUUAAUAUUUUGCUAUUCCAGCACUCUGUAUAAAUGGUCAUUUUACCUUCAUUUUUUGGUUUUGUUCUAGUGAGCUGAGUGAUUGUGAUGUAUUUAUCUGCUUCCUUUUUCUUUAUUUUUGUUUGUUCAUAGGAAAAUGAGUUAAUCCCUUGUCUCUUUUUUUAUUAGAAAUUCCAUUUUGACUGAAACAUGUAUAGAACUGAAACCUCCUGAGAUUCUUCUCUAAAACUUAACAUUUUCAGAUGAGGUCCAGAUGGAUGAAAUUGCUUUUCCAGAUGUCUUGUCAGCAACCCACUGCUCCCUGACUUCACACCUCACCUCCACUGAAACUGCUUUGCUAGCUAAUCCCCACUCAUCCUUCAAGAUUCAGGUCAGUAGCCAAUUUGAGGAAUACUUCUUUGACCCCUUUGGUGGAGUUAAGAGCUGCUUUCAGAGCUCAAGGUAAUGUAUAUAUGACGUCUGUCCUUGCAUUUACUGUGUAGUAUUGAAAAAUAUCUGUUUACAUCGGUCUUUGUUACCAGAUAUAAAUGAGUUCCUCAAGGUCAGAGACUGUUUUUAUGCAUUUCUAUAUCUCCAACACCUGGCAAAGUGCCUAGGCCAUAAAAUAAAUGAUAAAUCUUGUUGAUAAAUCUUGUUGAACUGACCUGACCUACUCUCAAUGAACCCACAUUUUAGUGGGAGAGACAACUUGCUGACAACUGAAAUAUUAUAUAAUGAAGUCAGUGCCACACAAGAUGUGUGUUCAAGGGGUUAUAGGAGCAUUGAGGAGGUACCACAUGUUGUCCCCCUUACAAUGUCAAAAACUGUGAGGAAAUUGGAAAUAAGGUCAGAGUUACAUUGUGGUUCUCCACGUAGGGGAAUAGAGAAAAGAGAGCCUUAUGCUAAUAUUACAUGUACUAUAAAUACUAAGCAAGACUGUGUACUCUGGGUGAUCAUGUUCUUUUCCUGAAGCAGGAUCUCAGCAGAUUAUGGUGACCAUGCAAACAGACAUCUCUGGUGCCCUCCAUUUCUGGGAGAUAAUCAGUUUGUUGUCCCACCACCUGCUUAUGUCAAUGCUCCACGUGGGCACCAAUACAUGCCCCUUUGUGAAGCAAAAAUGAGCGCAUCUCUCUCAAUAAAGCAGUAUAAACCAUCUUGAGGCCUGAUAAAACUCUUGUCUUUUCAAAGGCAUACCUUCCCUUAGAAUCAGUGAUUACUGAAGGUCUUUUCUUAUGUAAUCCAGAUGAUCUGCCUCUGAAACCUUCCAUGGGCACAGAAAUUUCUGCAAGGAAAGCAUCAGCAGCCAGAAUAAUUUGGUGAGGCAGAUUUGGCACAGAAUACCCUGACUGAGGUAUUGCUCCCAAAGGAGCAAUUCUCUGGGGUUAGGAGCCAAUCGUUAGGUGCCUACAAAACACCCUGUUAUUUUGACUAAACCUGCUUUGCUAUCAAGGAGAAAAAAGAACUGUGCACUGAAAACCAGAACGGCCAAAAAAGAAUGCAGCUGUGGUCAUGGAAAAGGUCCUUGAAUAACAGGGAAAGGGAGACAGGGCAGUUGAAGGAAGGAUAGGAAAAGGCUACUUCCUGGCAGGAAUUAAUAAACUAAUGUUUUUAUUAUUUAAUAAGAGAAACCCAUUCCCUUGUUUCAAAUAAGGCAAAGAUAAGUUAGGACUGGAUGUGGCUAUAGAUCACUAUUUCUGGCACAGGCUGAUAAAAAUAAAGGAAGUCAGAACACAACCCCACUCUCACCCAUAUCCCACUUUGCAAAAACCAUGACCCAACUGCCUCUGUAGAUACUGGACUGUGGACUGCAGGUGAAGCCUCAGGAGCCUUUGCUCUACUGAGUGAUCUACCUUUAGAUUGACAGCAGCAGCUGCGGAGUAACAUCUGAAUGUUGAUUGACAAUGCAGUUUGUGGGAAUAAAGCAGGGAGGGAAACCCUUUAACCAGUUUCCAUUUCUUGGUGUCUUGAAGUGUUCAUCUUACUAAAGAAUCAAACCGUGGUAUAAUCCAGAGGAAGAGCAUCCCUCAUCCUGGCAGCCCUGCUAUACCACAUCUGCUUAUCCAUAGUGAAAGAAACCACAUUUUUAAGAAAAUAUGAAAUACAGAGAUGAAAACUGUUUUAGAGCAAAUCAUUUUAAAUAAAAAGAAGGUUGCGUACUCAUUUUAAAUGAUUUUAAUUUUCUGAAUAUUAUGUUCCAACUCAAGAUAUUGCACAAUGCUUUAAUAUUACACUUGUUAUUUUUCUCACACUAGUGAGAUUUUGAUAAACAUAAUUGACUUUGGAAGUAACAGAGAAUGUUUUCAUUGGUUAAAUAAUUUCAAUGACCUGUGAGGAACUGAAAGCAAGCUAUUACAUUCAUAUAAAAGAUAAGUAUAUAUCCAUAAAUUCACUUGGAUUCAAUGAAAAAUAAACUCAUGUACUUGAUAAAACUUAAAGGAAACAAAAUUUUUAAUGGUGCAAAAAUAGAAUGUAUUUCUUAAAGUUUUCAGUGUACUUUUGCUUUUGAAAACCCUUAGACCUAAAAGAAUUCUAAGAAUAUCAGGCCACAUUAUAAACCCCUUAUUUGUAGAAGCAAACAGUUGAUAAUUUUAAAACAAAAUCUAGAUUAAAUAAAUAUAGUUCUUCAUUAUUAAAAUAACAAAAUCUAUGAUGGUAAGGUAAAAUUUCCCUAAAUAAUAUAAACAAAAAACGACACCAGAAAAUAAAUGUAUCAUGUUAUGGCAUCUUUAAACAUUUCUGUUCAAAUGUAUGGAUCUACAGCAUUUUGCCUAGGUAACACACACAGUUGUUAUCACAUUAUUAUGGAAUAAAUGCUGAAAAAUUAAGAAAAAAAUACUAAUGGUCACUAGGCCAAAGUCAAUUCCAAAAAACUCUCAAUUUUUAUAAACUUUUAUUAUAGUGAUUUUUAUUGUAUUACAACAAUUUUUUUCUUUUUUUGCUUUGCUUUGUGAUUCAUAUUUUUAGCAGAGGCAUAGCACUGGAGAUAAAGAAGAGGAAAUAUGCCUCAGGUGCCAGUUGUGUUUUUUUAACUACCAUUUUGCACUUUUGCUAUUUUUAGACUUGUUGCUUAUCAGAUUCAUGAACACACCCUACUUUUGCUUUUUUUUUUUUUUUUUUUUUUUAAUUCAUUUCCAGGAAAACUCAACCACAGCAUUAGGAGAAAAGGCAAAAACUUUACAUUGCCUGAUACACCAUUUUUUCUUGCUCUGCCACUGAUUUUUAGUAGCUGUGUAUUACUGAAGUAGUGUUGUUGUCUCUAUUAAUGCUUAGAGAUUACACACCAUAAAUUUUUUUAUGGUCAUCCUAAGAUACAAUGAAUUCUUCACAUUUUGUGAAAAUCAUAGGCAUCUGACAGCUGAUGUAUUUAUCUACUAUGUUCAUCAAACUCGAAUAUUUUAUAAAAUACUUGAGAAAAGCUCUCUACCAAAGAUAUCCUCAUGAAACACUCUCUUAUCAGAAAGAAAAGGGUAAAAUUACGGAUUACUUCAAUUGAACUAGAAACACUGAUUAUGAUUAUAUUUCAGAAAAGUUACAAUUAUUUCAUUAAAAAUUAUUCUCAUUUAGAUUGAUGAUUGGAGACUUAUUUACAAGGAAAGAUAGAGAAAUUUUAUGAGCCUAGGAUUGUGCCAGGAUUGCAUGUGAGGGCAGUUUUUUCAAAUGGAUAUGCAUGUUGAGAUGUGACUAUUUAUGAUCUUAUUUUCUUAUUCAUUAGAUAAGGAGAUGAUCAGUGUUUUCUGGGUUUUUUUGUUGUUGUUAAUUUUGCAUAUUCUCUUAUUUCAAAAUUAAUCUAAUUAAUUUUAUUUGUGUGUCGCCCAGAUUGCUUUUGGGUUUAAACAGAGGACUUAAUCAUAGCAUGGACAGAAAAAGCUCAGCAUCUAUCUAAAUGACUCUAAUUGCACCAUCAUCCUCAUUGUUCUUGUAAGUUCCAAGUUCAUUAUAAAUCCAGGGAGGAAAAAACCCUUCAAAUCCAAAUAUACAUACAUUUCUUAUAGUAUUUUAAUUUAAAUCAAGAAGUAUUUAAAAUCUUAUCCUCUAACAUUUUCACUAUUAGUAUAAUAAAAUUCCCACAAGUUGAGAAAGUUAUUUGCUUCAAAUACGAAUCUAAUAUAUCAGAAUAAUUUUGCCAUCAGAGGUACAAACAUUGGCAAAUAGGAUACUUAACUGUGAGUCAAAAAAUAUAACAGUCUAACUAAAACACUUUUCUAAUUGAAAAUGUCAUUACAGUCAACAUUUUCAGAAAACAAAACCCAG